rnacentral:rRNA from 1 species
CUGGCUCAGGAUGAACGCUAGCGGCAGGCCUAAUACAUGCAAGUCGAACGGUGUAGCAAUACAUAGUGGCGCACGGGUGCGUAACACGUAUGCAACCUACCUUAUA